AUCCACAUUAUUAAUGUAAGAAACAUUCAAACCCAUAAAGAAUUUUUGUGUUUAUUUGAGCCAAACUCACAAACAUUGAGGUAAUACUCUGCAGAAUGGCAGUUUUUCACCUAUUUUCAUAAAUGACCACUAAAGGAGGAGACAUAAGUAGGUUAGAUGAACUCCAUUGGGCACUAAUCUCCCUCUGAGUUUACUUCGUAAUCUGGGAAACAAGGAAAUAUUUCUUGAGUAAAUGAAUGAAUCUACAAAAGAAUAGAUCCUGUGCCCAUCUGAUAAAGUAAUGACUGUUACUGUUACUGGACAACAAUUGGUCUGUGCUGCCUGUCACUACUGGAACGAAUUCAGCAGAGACAGGGUUGAAUCAUAUACGAGCGUUUUUCAAAUAUUGCCGGCAGUAUGGGAGAGCAGCAAGUCAUCCACAAAAAUCUGCUCUGCACCCAAGCAUAAGCCCUCUGCUUAUAUUGGUAGAAGAACAAAGAUUACAUGGGAAAGUAGGCAAAAGAGCAAAUGGGCAUUGUACAGAUAUGCAAAAGAGCUGGGGUCUUCAAAGGGCUUGGAGAUAUGCAGGGGCUGGUUUACAAAGGAAAUAGCCAAAGGGGUAUGCCAAAUGGGCAGUUAACAGGUAAGCAGAGGGUUUGGGAUUCUCAAAGUGCUUAGUGAUAUUCAAGGUCUGGGGAUCUUCAGUGGGCUGGCAAUUCUGGUUUCUGUAAUAAAGUUGUUAAUCUUUCCAUGGUAAUAGGCAGUUCCAAAUGGGAAGGAAGGGCUAAACUUCCAGGUGAGCUCCCAGGUCCUGAGUGAGGCUGCCAGCCAGGUUAGAAUGUACCUUCUUUAAUCAGAAUAAAACAACCAUGGUUAACAGAGCAUGAUUAAUAUUUCUUACAAAUCUAGCUGGUACCCCAACAUUCUAUUUAUGCUUUGAUCAUUACCUGAAUUAUUUAUUGUUUUCUAACUAGAGGUCCUUGUUUAAAGGACCAAGUGUGACUACUGUGAAAUCUUAACAGUCUUUGUGUUUAUUUACCACACGUUGUUAUAAAUAGCUUUCUCCAAAUUUAAAAAUGUUUGCUAGAAUGUCACCUUUGAUGACUUGGUACUCUUCUCUGCCUGAACUGGUUGUGGAAGGAGUACUACUAAAAACAGUACUAAAGGGUUUUGGCUUGUCCACAUUUUGUUGAUGAAAUUCCUCAUGCAGAACUAUUUCAUGCUUUAUUUGAAUUGUUCUCAAACUGUAAAGAUAAAGUUGAUGCAAUGUUAAGUAUUUGUGUGCUUGGGAAAACACGUUUUUUAAAAUCUCAGUGGUUAACAUUUUGGCCACUGGGUGUCAUCAUGGAUCUAGUUUUUAGGAAGAUGGAUUUUUAGGCCUGCUGAUUGGAAAUAACUGAGUCUAAUAAAAUUUAAAAACGUAUUUUUAUUGUUCAACUUUUAUACACUAAACAUAAAGCACAAG